rnacentral:lncRNA from 1 species
UUCGUUGAACGCUCAAAAAUAUUGUGCUUCUUUUGUAUGAGGUUUCUACAUAGAAGACUUUUGAAAAUCGAAAAAAUAGAUAUAAAUCUACUAUUAAUCCUACUCAUAAAAAUAAAUAAAAUAAAAUUAUCCAAAUUAAUUACAAUCCCAAAAAUUAAAAGUUUAGUCAAUCAACCUCCUCCUAGGAAUCUAUUUCAUCCCUUUCCUC